UACGGAAGGCAGCAGUGGGGAAUAUUGCACAAUGGGCGCAAGCCUGAUGCAGCCAUGCCGCGUGCAUGAAGAAGGCCUUCGGGUUGUAAAGUACUUUCAGUCGUGAGGAAGGUGUUAAGGUUAAUAACCUUAGCAAUUGACGUUAGCGACAGAAGAAGCACCGGCUAACUCCGUGCCAGCAGCCGCGGUAAUACGGAGGGUGCGAGCGUUAAUCGGAAUUACUGGGCGUAAAGGGCACGCAGGCGGUUAAUUAAGUUGGAUGUGAAAUCCCCGGGCUUAACCUGGGAAUGGCAUUCAAGACUGGUUAGCUAGAGUCUUGUAGAGGGGGUUAGAAUUCCAUGUGUAGCGGUGAAAUGCGUAGAGAUGUGGAGGAAUACCGGUGGCGAAGGCGGCCCCUGGGACAAAGACUGACGCUCAUGUGCGAAAGCGUGGGGAGCAAACGAGGAUUAGAUACC
rnacentral:rRNA from 1 species